UGCUUGCGUCUUCCUCCUCCCCGGCGUCCAAUAGAAGAGCCUUCUAUGCUGAUGCUGCAAAGAAACUUGGAGAAAUUGAAAUAUCAUUUGGGAUAGUUAGCACAGGGCAGGGGGGUGGGCAGAUUGGGAUCCAGCCUCAGGAAGAAGAUCAGCCAGGAUUUAUCACUGACAAAACUGUAUAAAAUUGUGUAACAGCAAUUCCCCCAUUACGUUGCUGAAAUGAAUGAAGUUUUCAGGGUGGUAGUAACUGUAAUGGAUUUUUGUGUUAGGAGGGUUGUUGUUGUUGUUGUUGUUGUUGUUGAACUGAUUUUGAGAAAUAGAGAAUUGUACCAACAGGUCAAGAGCUGGGAGCAUCUGAAAUGGAAAAUGAGCGAGGUCCCAUCCAAAGAAGAAUGGCAACUUGGAAUACACGCAACUUGCAGAGUGUAGCCACAGAAGUCGGUGGACUUCAGUUACUCAGGUCCAUCCAUUUCAGUCAGUCUACCCUGAGUAUAGCAGCUAGAUAAAAAGGCACCCCUGACCGUUUGUUGUUGUUUAGUCAUUUAGUUGUGUCCGACUCUUUGUGACCCCCUGGACCAGAGCACGCCAGGCACUCCUGUCUUCCACUGCCUCCCGCAGUUUGGUCAAACUCAUGCUGGUAGCUUUGAGAACACUGUCCAACCAUCUCGUCCUCUGUCGUCC